GACGAACGCUGGCGGCGUGCUUAACACAUGCAAGUCGAACGAUGAAGCCUAGCUUGCUGGGUGGAUUAGUGGCGAACGGGUGAGUAACACGUGAGUAACCUGCCCCUUACUCUGGGAUAAGCGCUGGAAACGGCGUCUAAUACUGGAUAUUACCUUUCAUCGCAUGGUGUUUGGUGGAAAGAUUUUUCGGUUUGGGAUGGACUCGCGGCCUAUCAGCUUGAUGGUGAGGUAGUGGCUCACCAUGGCGACGACGGGUAGCCGGCCUGAGAGGGUGACCGGCCACACUGGGACUGAGACACGGCCCAGACUCCUACGGGAGGCAGCACUGGGGAAUAUUGAACAAUGGGCGCAAGCCUGAUGCAGCAACGCCGCGUGAGGGAUGACGGCCUUCGGGUUGUAAACCUCUUUUAGUAGGGAAGAAGCGUAAGUGACGGUACCUACAGAAAAAGCACCGGCUAGCUACGUG
rnacentral:rRNA from 1 species